AGAAAAUAAUACUCUCAUAUUCUACCCUAAGGUACAAAUUUCUCCCUUUUCUUUUAAGAGUGAACUAUAAAAUGAUGCAAAUAUUCGUGCGCCAUGCAAAUACUCUCGCGCUAAAAUAUUUUAUAAAUAUGAAGCCAAAAUAUGUUAUGUAAUUUAUAAAUAAAUUUUGUAUGAGAUUUUUAAGAUUAAAAAGAUCAAUCAACAUGUGCCGAUUCAACAUGUGCCGAUUCAACAUGUACCGAUUCAACAUGUGCCGAUACUCGUUCACCAUUUAGUUUUACAAGUUUGAAUUUUUUUUUUUUGUGUCGAUUCACUAUUAUCACUAUUAUAUAUUACGAAUGAUACGCACGCACAUUUUCGAACACAGCAUAAAAUUAAUCUUUUAAAAAAAGGUAAUGCAGAUGAACCGAAUAAUAUUACGUCUACAUCAAUGAACAUAAACACAUUUACGAAUUUGAUUAACAAAAGUUUAUCAAAAGUAUUAAAAUGCUUCUGAAAAUCAGGUGAUGAUUCGUUUAGUGCGAUUAAGAGCUAAAGAAGGAUAUCAUUGUUAAGUAAAAUAUGCCAAAUUAUCUUAGCCAAACUUAGAGCGCGAACUAUUCAAGGUGAAGAGUUUAGCAUCACAUUAGUUGAGUAGACUAAAAAACCGUCGUUAUGACGUCGUUGUGAAGUUGUUCGUUAUAAUCUGUUAUAUGAAUGUAAAUGUGUUCUGCUAGAAGUCAUGCUAAAGGGCAGAGGUUAAAUCAACUUAUCUAGAACAAGAUCAUUUUUCGAACGACGACAAAGAAGAUGUAGGUAGUUUAGAGCAAUUAUCCGAAAAGAAUUUUUAUCUGUUUAUUAGGCAUGCAAAUAUUUGUUCACUGAUAGAAAAGAUUUGCAAAAUUAUUAAAAUAUCGCCGACGAAAAAUGAUGAAACACUACAGAAAAUUAUCAAAGGAGAACUAAGUAAGGAAUUUUUAUUUGUUUUGGACUCGACGGAGUAGCCUACUAACAAUGUUGGAGCGUUUUUAUAAAGUUAGAAAUUCUAUACGAAAAUGAUAUAGAGAUAACAAUUAAAUCACGAAGCAAAAAAUAUUAGUUUAUUAUCAAACAUAAUUUCAGACUUUAAAGGUUGCUGUAGAGACAUUUUGUUGCGAAGAUGUUAAUCUUUACACAGCUGGUAUAACAUUACAGUUUAUGUUAAACGAACUCAGCAAAACACAUUAUUUAGCAACUUUAAAAUGAAUUAGUACUACGAACAAAGGAAAGACGAAGUUUUAAUUCAGAUGUUUUUUUUCUUAAUGAACAAUUUGAAUAACAAUAGCAGUAAAUUUAACGAUUAUGAAAAAUUUAAUAAAAUCAUUUUAACAAUGGAUGAAGUUAAAGUUAUAAA